UACGUAGGGGGCAAGCGUUGUCCGGAUUUAUUGGGCGUAAAGAGCUCGUAGGCGGUUCCGUAAGUCGUGAAGUCAAAUCUCUGGGCUCAACCCAGAAUCGCUUCCGAUACUGCGGUGACUGGAGUCCGGUAGGGGAGUGUGGAAUUCCUGGUGUAGCGGUGAAAUGCGCAGAUAUCAGGAGGAACACCAACAGCGAAGGCAGCACUCUGGGCCACUACUGACGCUGAGAAGCGAAAGCAUGGGGAGCGAACAGG
rnacentral:rRNA from 1 species